rnacentral:lncRNA from 1 species
GAUCAACCUCAACAAAUGGUUCUGUGUCAUGAUCAGAUGAAUUGAGACUUGCCGAUGGCAUCUUUGAAGAUGACGAAGAAAUACUAUUCACUGACAAAAGCCAGAAAUCAACGCAGCCUGUUUGACAAGUCAAGAUCCAAUCUCCCGUGCUGGAAACAAUUGCCUAUAAAUGGAACACAAUUCUGAUUACUGUACAAGAAAUUCAAAUUAAUCAAAUGACACUUGAGAAGAAAAUAAAAACACUCUGGUCAUACUAAAUUUAAAGGGACUACACUAGCAAAUUUCAAUUUGAUUGAAAAAUAAAAACUUCAUGAGAUGUACUCCAAGCAGAAAAAUGGUACAGAAAAUUCAAACUAAUAUGAUAAAAUGGCAUGAUCAAGGAAGACAGAGGGAUGUAACAAAUUCAAAUCUAUGGUUUAAACUAUCAAGAUUCCAAUAUGAUUGAAAAAUGAAAAAUUCAUGAGAAGUUUCGGCAUCUUAAAGAUUACUGUUCAGAAGAUGCUGUGACAGACUUAAUUGACUCAAAGCAAUCAAUAAAGCUAACACACACUGAAGGUCUGACAAAUGGUUCUAACACAAGUUGUAGCCCUUUGAUUCUGCCUAGUUUAAAAUAUCCAGUUUUCCAGUUGAGACUUGUGACGUCCAAGAGAACCAAUCCAAACUUAGAAUCUCAAAUUCAGAGGCUGAAACAACAUCUUCAUCAGUUACAACUAGCAACAGCAAGAAGAGGAGAGACUUGCAAAUUCUAAAUCCAAACAAAAAUUUCAAUUGUCAGAACCUCCAUCAACUUAAACUAAGAAAAAGGCAACAUACAUAAGAAAUGAUCCAAAUAAAAUAAAAAUAAAAAUCCUAAUGAUAACACAACAAAGAUAACAUAACUAAAGCUCAGAUCAAAACGUAUGUUUUCAAUAUUCAGACCUGCAUCGAAGUGCAAAGAAAACCACCUAAAACCGAAACUCGAGCUCCAAAUAUCAAAAAUUUCAAUGUAAUUCAGAGAAAACAACAAAAACUCGCACUCAAAAAAGAACCACAACUCAAAACGACAACACGGAGAUUCAAAUGAGCAAAUCGGAGCCAAAGAUGAGGAGAAACGGCUCAAAUUGAAGCUCGGAUAAUGCUGCAUCCAAACCUCCAAUCAACGAUGCAGGUUAAACAAAAGAGAUUACCUUGAGAUUACGAGUUAUUCUCAGAAGCACGAACCAGACUCCACCAUGCUUUCUCCAUUUUAUCUCUGCGAAUUGAAUGGAAGAGGAAGAAAG